CUUACACAUGCAAGUCGAACGGCAGCACGGACUUCGGUCUGGUGGCGAGUGGCGAACGGGUGAGUAAUGUAUCGGAACGUGCCCAGUAGCGGGGGAUAACUACGCGAAAGCGUAGCUAAUACCGCAUACGCCCUACGGGGGAAAGCAGGGGAUCGCAAGACCUUGCACUAUUGGAGCGGCCGAUAUCGGAUUAGCUAGUUGGUGGGGUAACGGCUCACCAAGGCGACGAUCCGUAGCUGGUUUGAGAGGACGACCAGCCACACUGGGACUGAGACACGGCCCAGACUCCUACGGGAGGCAGCAGUGGGGAAUUUUGGACAAUGGGGGAAACCCUGAUCCAGCCAUCCCGCGUGUGCGAUGAAGGCCUUCGGGUUGUAAAGCACUUUUGGCAGGAAAGAAACGUCGCGGGUUAAUACCCCGCGGAACUGACGGUACCUGCAGAAUAAGCACCGGCUAACUACGUGCCAGCAGCCGCGGUAAUACGUAGGGUGCAAGCGUUAAUCGGAAUUACUGGGCGUAAAGCGUGCGCAGGCGGUUCGGAAAGAAAGAUGUGAAAUCCCAGAGCUUAACUUUGGAACUGCAUUUUUAACUACCGGGCUAGAGUGUGUCAGAGGGAGGUGGAAUUCCGCGUGUAGCAGUGAAAUGCGUAGAUAUGCGGAGGACACCGAUGGCGAAGGCAGCCUC
rnacentral:rRNA from 1 species